CACCCAAGCCUGCCUGCUCGCUCUUCUCCACCACCAACCCUGGCUACCCCACCACCACCGCUCCCUGGGACUUCUGCAAUGACCUCCCAACCAGGCACAUCAUGAAAAAGCACCUGCUGUGCCUACCUACCCUGAGGAAAACGAAGCUCCCUAGAAGCAGGUCUCCGUGGCAAUGGACAGGCAGCAAGGAACUAUCAGCACAGAGAACUCUGCUGAUCUGUAAUCCCAACACUUGGGAAGCUGAGGCUGGAGGAUUACAAACCUAACGUCAGCCUGGAACAUACAUCCGUACCCUGUACUAAAAAAAAAAAAAAUCCAGACUGGGAGGUGAUGGCACACACCUUUAAGCCCACCACUUGAGAGG